GCCGUGGUGGUGCAGUGGUAGCACACCUGAUCCAGUAUCCUAAGCUCCUAAUUCGCCUACCUAAAUACCUAAUACUCGCUUACCUAAGUCCCUAAAACUCUCUUCUCAUGGAUCAGGAAGUCGCAGGUUCGAUUCCUGCCUACGGUG
rnacentral:tRNA from 1 species